rnacentral:rRNA from 1 species
UACGAAGGGGGCUAGCGUUGUUCGGAAUUACUGGGCGUAAAGCGCGCGCAGGCGGUUUCUCAAGUCAGUGGUGAAAGCCCGGAGCUCAACUCCGGAACUGCCAUUGAAACUGUGAAACUUAAGGACGAGAGAGGUGAGUGGAAUUCCCAGUGUAGAGGUGAAAUUCGUAGAUAUUGGGAAGAACACCGGUGGCGAAGGCGGCUCACUGGCUCGUUUCUGACGCUCAGGCGCGACAGCGUGGGGAUCAAACAGG